GGCAUUUAGCCCAACUGCCUCAGCAAGGACAUCUCCCAAGUCACCUAACCCUCAUCCAGUCCAGCCACCCCCUGUCCUUCCUCCCCACGGGAUCAGAGAGUUAUGGAGGAAGGCAAAUCAAACCUUGGAGCUCAGUCGCACCCCCCCGCCACUAUCCCUCUGUGGCUAGUUGCAGCGACUGACCGACUCCCAAGGACAAAUCAAACUCCUUUAAAGGGCACUGCCCCAGCGCACCCUCCUGCCUCCGCCACACUAGCUGGACUUCCCACCACAGGAACCUGGCCACCCACUACCAGAUGCUCUUCCUUCCUCUCGUCUUGAUUGAUCCACCACCUCCAGAUCUCAGCUUAGCUAUCGUUUCUUCUGCAGAGCUUUCCUCAUGCACUCAGAGCAACUCUAUCUCACAACCCAGCACGCAUGCAGCAAGGACAUCUCCUUAUCAAGGCUGAAUUUUUUUAAAUGUAUUUGUGUAAUUUUUUGAUUACUCCAAGCUUUGUGAAGGCUGGUCUACCUUUGUUCACUAUGUUAUCCUUAGUGCUUGGGCACGUACCAGGAGCUCUACAACACUGGUUGAGUCAAUGGGUGAAUAGGGCAAUACUGUCCCUCAAAUUUCCAAUUUGGGAAGCAGCCAUAGUAUUUGAAAAACAGAAAAGUAUUAGUGAACAUGGGCCAGAUCAGCACACAUUUGAGCAUUAUUGCAGAAAAAAAUUUUUUUGGCAAAAUUGUUUAUCAUUACAAAACUUCUCUGUGGAAAUUAAAUUUCUC
rnacentral:lncRNA from 1 species